rnacentral:rRNA from 1 species
GACGGAGGGUGCAAGCGUUGUUCGGAUUGACUGGGCGUAAAGGGCGUGUAGGCGGUUGGUCAAGUCUGAUAUGAAAGCCCGGGGCUCAGCUCCGGAAGGGCAUCGGAAACUAGCCAGCUGGAGCGCGAUAGAGGAGGGCGGAAUUCCUGGUGUAGCGGUGAAAUGCGUAGAUAUCAGGAGGAACACCGGCGGCGAAGGCGGCCCUCUGGAUCGUUGCUGACGCUGAGACGCGAAAGCGUGGGGAGCAAACAGG